rnacentral:misc_RNA from 1 species
AAGUCGUAACAAGGUUUCCGUAGGUGAACCGUGCGGAAGGAUCAUUAAUGAGAACUUGCCCGUUCGGGGUAGAUCUCCCACCCUCUGUUUGACAUUACCUUUGGUUGCUUUGACAGGCCCGCCCUCGGGGCCGCCGGCUUUCGGCUGGUCAGUGCCUGUCAGAGGACCCAAAAGCUCUUGUUUAAUUGUCGUCUGAGUACUAUAUAAUAGUUAAAA